CACGUAGGCGGACCAGAAAGUUGGGGGUGAAAUCCCGGGGCUCAACCUCGGAACUGCCCUCAAAACUAUUGGUCUGGAGUUCGAGAGAGGUGAGUGGAAUUCCGAGUGUAGAGGUGAAAUUCGUAGAUAUUCGGAGGAACACCAGUGGCGAAGGCGGCUUACUGGCUCGAUACUGACGCUGAGGUGCGAAAGCGUGGGGAGCAAACA
rnacentral:rRNA from 1 species